GAUUAAAUGGCUGAAAAUCUAGGCAAUAGACUGUAAAUCUAUUUAUGGAGUUUUAAUUCCUUUAAUCA
rnacentral:tRNA from 1 species